rnacentral:misc_RNA from 1 species
ACUGAACUGAAACUGAGUCAAAAACUAAUGCUUAUUGAAACUGAAGCUGAAAACUGGGCAAAAGUAGUUUCAUACGAUGGCCCUGCAUAUGUGAGAAUCUGGCAACACGUACGUGGUAGGGUCGGCCUAUCUCCCUAACAAGCAAUUUGGCUCCUGUGAGCCUGGUUAGCUAACCCAGGCAUUUCUAGCACUCAUGCCUGGGGGAGUUUGGACACUUCUCUCUUAAGGAUGUGAUCAAUA